CACAGGCAGUCCCAGAUGAAAAUAUGAACUCAGAGAGAGAAGUUAAUCUCCCAUUGAAAGGCGGAGCAGAGGCUGUAACUCAAUACAGCCCACGUUGUGGGAGGUCAACUUUUCCUCAUCCCCGAAAAUUAAACCUCAUCCCCGCAGCGGCCAGAUGGGGAUCAAUCCCACACGGAAUUGGGUUUCACAGCCCGGAAGCAGAGGUGUACGCACGGGUCGCUUUCAUUGACUUGCUGUGGCCGUACGUGCUGUCAGCCACCGUGGUGUGGUUAGGACCAAGAAGUGAAGCGGAUCUGAACUGCCACUGGCGCACAGGCACCAGCUGAAGGAACGCGUGGGGUGAUAGAAAGUGAAAGAAACAAAGGAAGAUGAAAAUGAACGGACAGCGCUUACAAAAUGGACCUCAAAUACACAUGAAAGACUAAUUGGACAAAUAAACCUCUUAUCUUGCUCAGUUUGUGAUGCUUUUGAAAAAUUAAUACAGACUCAUACUUAGUGACUGGUUGGUGCUCUCCAUCCGUGCGUCUUCAUUUCCAGAUGGGUAGUAAUUUAGUCCAUCACAAUUACUUAGUAACUUUCUGGAUACAUAUUUGACGGUUUUAACACAACAUACUAAUUAUUUUUACUUCAGUAUUCUUGUUAAUUAGAAUUUCCACUUUUACUUUGUUACAUUGAGCUACAUUCCACUCACUGCUGCCUUUCUGUUAUUGCUUGGGCAAUCUAUUUGGUUUUGGUUUGCCAGAAAGACUUGUGUCACGUGACUCUGCUCCACCGAUCCGACACAACUACUAACCCUGUUUGACUCCACCUCACCAUCCAAAUGGAGCCAGGAAGUCACAUGACCUCACACAAUGUCUCCAUGGCCCCACACUGGAACAACGUUUCCAAAGUGACUAAUGUACGUGAAGCGUGGCAGAAAACAACGGCGUGGGAAGCAAUCAGAAGGCAC